AUCCCAUGCUGACCCCUGUCCCCGCAGCCCGAUGCCUGGAAGGUGUACGUCUCCAAGGGCACCACGGUCACCAGGAGGAAGACCUUCAAGGAGGUUGCCAAUGCGGUGAAGAUCUCGGCCAAGCUGAUGGGGCACAUGAUGGCCCGGCGUGUGAAGGCCACCAUCCUGUAUGCCACCGAGACGGGCCGGGCGCGCACCUACGCCUGGAGCCUCUGCCAGCUCUUCCGCCGUGCCUUCGACCCCAAGGUGCUGCGAAUGGAUGAGUACGACAUCGUGUCCUUGGAGCACGAGACCUUGGUGCUGGUGGUGACCAGUACCUUUGGCAAUGGGGACCCUCCGGAGUGUGGGGA